GACGAACGCUGGCGGCGUGCUUAACACAUGCAAGUCGAACGAGUGGCGAACGGGUGAGUAAUACGUGAGUAACCCGCCCUCUUUUUGGGAUAAGCCUUGGAAACGGGGACUAAUAACGAAUAAAGGGGGAUGGGCGCGCGGCCUAUCAGCUUGUUGGUGGGGUGAUGGCCUACCAAGGCGGUGACGGGUAGUCGGCCGGAGAGGGUGACCGGCCACAUUGGGAAUGGGAUACGGCCCAGAUUCCUACGGGAGUCAGCAGUGGGGGAUAUGGCACGAUGGGCGAAGGCCUGAUUCAGCGACGUCGCGUGGGGGAUGAAGGCUUUCGGGUUGUAAACCUCGUUUGCUAUCGUAUGGUAGUUGGAGAAGAAGCGCCGGCUAACUCCGUGCCAGCAGCCGCGGUAAUAC
rnacentral:rRNA from 1 species